rnacentral:rRNA from 1 species
UACGUAGGGUGCGAGCGUUGUCCGGAAUUACUGGGCGUAAAGCGUGCGUAGGCGGUUUGUUAAGUCCGUUGUGAAAGCCCUGGGCUCAACCUGGGAAUUGCAGUGGAUACUGGCAAGCUAGAGUCAGGUAGAGGGUGGUGGAAUUCCCGGUGUAGCGGUGAAAUGCGUAGAGAUCGGGAGGAACAUCUGUGGCGAAGGCGGCCACCUGGACCAUGACUGACGCUGAGGCACGAAAGCGUGGGGAGCAAACAGG